UACAGGGGGUGCAAACGUUGCUCGGAAUCAUUGGGCGUAAAGCGCACGUAGGCGGUUCGUUAUGUCGGAUGUGAAAGCCCUUGGCUUAACCGAGGAAGUGCAUCCGAAACUGGCGAGCUAGAGUACUAAAGAGGAUCGCGGAAUUCCCGGUGUAGAGGUGAAAUUCGUAGAUAUCGGGAGGAACACCGGUGGCGAAGGCGGCGAUCUGGGUAGGUACUGACGCUGAGGUGCGAAAGCGUGGGGAGCAAACAGG
rnacentral:rRNA from 1 species